GACGAACGCUGGCGGCGUGCUUAACACAUGCAAGUCGAACGGUGAAGCGCCUUCCUUUUUGGUGGGUGUGGAUGAGUGGCGAACGGGUGAGUAACACGUGAGUAACCUGCCCCCUUCUUCUGGAUAACCGCAUGAAAGUGUGGCUAAUACGGGAUAUUCUGGGUCUGUCGCAUGAUGGGUCUGGGAAAGAUAUUGUUUCGGUGGGGGAUGGGCUCGCGGCCUAUCAGCUUGUUGGUGGGGUGAUGGCCUACCAAGGCGGUGACGGGUAGCCGGCCUGAGAGGGUGGACGGUCACACUGGGACUGAGACACGGCCCAGACUCCUACGGGAGGCAGCAGUGGGGAAUAUUGCACAAUGGGCGCAAGCCUGAUGCAGCGACGCCGCGUGAGGGAUGGAGGCCUUCGGGUUGUGAACUUCUUUCGCCAGUGAAGCAGGCCUGCCUCGUUUGUGGGUGGGUUGACGGUAGCUGGAUAAGAAGCGCCGGCUAACUACGUG
rnacentral:rRNA from 1 species